UACGUAGGGGGCAAGCGUUAUCCGGAAUGAUUGGGCGUAAAGCGUCCGCAGGUGGCUGUGUAAGUCUGCUGUUAAAGAGUGAGGCUCAACCUCAUAAAAGCAGUGGAAACUACACAGCUAGAGUGCGUUCGGGGCAGAGGGAAUUCCUGGUGUAGCGGUGAAAUGCGUAGAGAUCAGGAAGAACACCGGUGGCGAAGGCGCUCUGCUAGGCCGCAACUGACACUGAGGGACGAAAGCUAGGGGAGCGAAUGGG
rnacentral:rRNA from 1 species